GGAUUAGAUACCCUGGUAGUCCACGCUGUAAACGAUGGUCACUAGCUGUUCGGAUUUCGGUCUGAGUGGCUAAGCGAAAGUGAUAAGUGACCCACCUGGGGAGUACGUUCGCAAGAAUGAAACUCAAAGGAAUUGACGGGGGCCCGCACAAGCGGUGGAGCAUGUGGUUUAAUUCGAUGAUACGCGAGGAACCUUACCAAGGCUUAAAUGCAAUACGGAUAGUUUAGAGAUAGACUAGUCUUCGGACGGAUUGCAAGGUGCUGCAUGGUUGUCGUCAGCUCGUGCCG
rnacentral:rRNA from 1 species